rnacentral:lncRNA from 1 species
AAAAUUAAGUUGUUCUUACCUUGGUGUGACACGGAGAAGACAAAGAAAUCAACAGAAAACAGCUCUUUGUAUGGACAAAUGAAGAAGAAUGCUAGAAGAAUGGGAACAAAUACCUCUAUCUUUCUCUCUUUCUUAUAGGGAUAAAUAAUUACCCUCACAAGUUGAUUUAAUCCCCUACUUAAGGUAGGCUUAAAUAGGCUUUGGUGGUGAUUUAUUUCCAUUUCCUAGAAUAAUCUAGUUACAAGUCCAAGUGGGAAUCUGCAUCAAGGUUGGAGAUCUCUACACCUACUGCAUUUUCCUACGAGCAGCCCAGCAGGUGUAGGGGCAUUUGUGGAGCAAAAAAUAAUCCCAAAAAUUAUGGAGGUAACACGUGGAUUUUUAGACAAGAAGGACAAAAUUACUCUCGAGGCACACUGGGAUUCCUACGCGCAUGCAACAGACAAUAACGACUCAAUCAAGGAAUAGUCAAAGGUGAUCAAUAUGGUAUUUAUUCAAAUCUCUCUCAUCACUCCUCAUCAAUCCCUUAUUGAUUUUAUUCAAAAGGUAACUCCCAAAACUUCCUAUUUAAUUUAUGAAUAAUUGCCAUAUAUGUAAUUAUUCACCCAAAACUUCCUAUGUAAUUAUUCACCCAAUUACACCAUAUAUGAAUGGCCACUCUCCACCAAUAGGGUCGGCCACCCUCCUAUAAAUGCUCCACUUAUCUUACUAAAAUACUAAGUCAUUGCUACCCACAAACUCUUAAAAACAUUCUUUUCAUAAUUCUAAAUUUGGCAUCGGAGAUUCUUCGGCCAAAUCUCCCCCAUUUCAUCGUGAACGCGUGAGGCUUUUGGCCUUAAUCUUAGGUGUUAUUAUUUUGCAAGUGCAUUUUCGUCAAAUGAGAAGACGAAAAUUUGCAUCCACAUAUGAGUCUUACUAUUACUUGAAACUACACAACGAUAAUUUCAAAUCUUGAAACUCAAUGACCCAUUUGGUGAGUUAGAUGGGAUGAGUUAUGUCCAAUUAAAUUCAUGUCUCUUUCCUUUUUUAUUCGAAAAUUGCUAAUUUCUCUUUAUAGAUUUGAUUCAACUAAGUAAUUUUUCUUUGUCAACCAAUUUUCGACUGAACAAUUUCAUUGAAAGUAGUGAGCCGGGGCUUGAAGGUGGAUUUGGAUUUGGUUUGUUAUAUAUAUAUAUAUGCUAAUAACAAUUCCCAACUGUUAUUAGCACUCCAAAAAUUUUAUUCCACACUCCUUACAAGUGUAUUUUUCUUUCUAAUUAUAGAUAGUUUGGAGUGCAAAAUGAGAUUUUUGGAGUGUUACUACAAUUCCCUUAUAUAUUUAUACAGGCAGAUGAAAACACUCUUCUUGAACGCAUGCGUCGAGCUGCAUAACUCAUCCAUCUCAAUGCGCUAGUUCCACGGAAAUCAUGUAGAAUUUUGAUGAGGAAGUGCGCUUUCCUUAUCGAAUGAGGUGUUCCAUCCGUCAAGAGAAAAAAAUAGUAUGCAGCUUUGUGCUUGACAUCAGUCUGCUUAAGUUGUUUGACUGCAUCACGAACUGCCACUACAUUUUCAGCAACACUUUGCGUACGGAACAACCCGAGCGCAAAGUCCAUAGCAAUAUCCUGCCAAAUGUCAUUGGGAACAGGCAAAGGCAUGUAGAGGCAAGUGUUUUGAACUUGUCUUUUAGAAACUUGACAAGUAUAAGAUUUCCGCACAAUUGCUCCAGCAUUGAAUCCGAAAUAUUUAUAAGAUAUCUUUCAGAAUUGUCUCGUUGUUGAAUUCAGAUAGUCCCACAUCAAGAUUUGUGCAUCCGAUAGCUGGAAUCACUCGGUAACGUAAAAAGCACUUCUUCGUAUAAGUUCAUGUUUGUCCAAUAUUGUGCUUACCUUUUAUCAUGUAAGCAAAUACUUUCCUCAUGUCCCUUGAACACCCGAUAAGUUUGUGUAUGUUAUCGGAAGGCAUGUAAUUGUGCAUAAAGUUUGUUUAAUAUUUGUUUGUCUUCACAUGUGUUGACACUUGAUUUCCUCAUGUAAACAUUUGAGGUACGUUAUGAAAGCAAUGAAAGAAACUAUGUGCUACAACAGCUAGCUACAAAGCAAUAGGUGAGUUUUUGGUAAAUUACAUAUUGGAUCUAAUUUGUUGUAAUUACACCAACACUGCUCUUAUUGUUUUACCGGCGUGGUGAUUUGACUAAGCAAGGGAAAGAGGUUGUUGCUAACUUGCUAGUUUGGAGAUCUCAGAUUUUACCGAGGACUAAGUUGCGCCACUAUUUACUGUCCAAAAAUGCUACUCUUCUUACCAUUUUUUUAAUAUCACAAUUUUUUUCAUUUCGUUAAUAGAGAUUGGACCCAUGUGAUAUUCUUCAAUUCUGCAAAGACAAACAAAACAAGGAUAUGAGCUUUAAUCUUGGGCAAUUUUUUUAUCCAUUUGAUAUUGCUCCUUGACUGAAUUCCUUAUAUAUAAAUGUAAUCACAUUAGGAUCAACGCACUGUACAAUAGAACAAUAAAAUAAAGGAAACUUUCAUGAAAAUGGCUUGAACUAAGUUUAUUUUAAUAAAAAUGAUGCUAUAACUUCAUUUAAUGAAAAAGACUUAAAUUUUAAUGAAAAACUCUUAAAUUUUAAUAAAAAUGACAAAAAAACUUAAAUUUUAAUAAAAAAAGACAUAAUUUUUAUAUUUAAAAAAAAUUUGACCCGCAGACCCACACGCUCUCACACAAACUAUUUAUGAAACUUACUACACUGUUUAUGAAACUUAUUACAUUGUUUAUGAAACUUUCUACACUAUUUAUGAAACUUAACGAUAUUACACUGUUUAUAAAAUUUAAUAGUAGAUGCUCAUCCUAGAUUUUCAAGUUCUUUUACCGUAAUGUAAUAAAAAAAUUAAAAAAACUUGAUAGAUAUCUACGUCCAUGCCGUUAAAGUCAUGCAUGGCUAAUAGCUCAAUACCAUUACUAGAAAAAUGGGUGAUGAGUCCAACGAUGUUGUCAAUGAUGUUGCCCCACCCCUAACCCAACAAUCCCAACCCACACUUAACCGACUCCCUCCCAACCAUACCACCCCAUAUGUGGUUCUGAAUCGAAAGAAACCCACUUCAAUUUGAAAUUUUAAUUUUAGAGGAAUAAAAUAUGCUUGGAUUAUAUCAAAGGGUUAUGCAAGUGAAUGAUUGGUUGAGUGCUCUUUGCACGCACCUUUAGUUAGGUUUUUUUUUUGUUUUUUGUUUUUUUAUCUUUCUCUUGUCCUUAUCAUUAAAAAAAAUUAUAGGAUGAUUUUUGGUUAAAACUCAAAGUUUGAAACCUUUUUCAUUAAUUUUACUUAAAAUAAACUGAAUGAGAAAACUGACUUUUAAGUACUAGCUUGCUACAAAAAGUAAUGUUGCCUUUUCAGAUUAAUCAUCAGACAUUCAAAUUAAAAAUUACGUAAAGGUUGUAUCCUUUGGGAAUUUGGAAAACUAUACAAAUAUUAAACCAUGAAUAGAAUUCUAAUCAAAUCAUUAUAACUUUAUAUAAUUCCAACCAAAAGUUGAAAUAAAAAUACUAUAAUGUCUUUUCUUAUUUAAAAUAAGGUUUAUUAAUUGAAAUAUCCUAUGAAACUGCCAUUUAAUCUCAGUUUACUCUUUGAAAUUGGUUUUGUCUCAUUUUCCCCUUGAAUUGUAAUUUUCAACUCUUUUGGUUUCACUUCACCCUAUUCCGCUAAACAAUUGUUAUAUUCAAGGGUAUUUUAGACUUUCUACACAUCUAUUUACUUCUAACCUACCUACUAAACCAAUCUAAAUUCUAUUUUUGACAACCCUAUUUCAAAUCCCAUG